rnacentral:rRNA from 1 species
AAUCAACGCUGGCGGCGUGCCUAACACAUGCAAGUCGCACGAGAAAGGGUCUUCGGAUCUGAGUAAAGUGGCGCACGGGUGAGUAACACGUGAAUUAUCUACCUUCGAGUGGGGAAUAACUUCGGGAAACCGAGGCUAAUACCGCAUAAUAUCUACGGAUCAAAGCAGUAAUGCGCUUGAAGAGGAGUUCGCGGCAGAUUAGUUAGUUGGCGGGGUAAUGGCCCACCAAGACGAUGAUCUGUGUCCGGCCUGAGAGGGCGCACGGACACACUGGAACUGAAACACGGUCCAGACUCCUACGGGAGGCGGCAGUGGGGAAUUUUGCGCAAUGAGGGAAACCCUGACGCAGCAACGCCGCGUGGAGGAUGAAGUCUCUUGGGACGUAAACUCCUUUCGAUAGGGAAGAUUAUGACGGUACCUAUAGAAGAAGCCCCGGCUAACUUCGUGCCAGCCGCCGCCGUAA